AGGGAAUAGAUACCCAGGUAGUCCACGCUGUAAACGAUGAGUGCUGGACGUUGGCGGGUUUACCUGCCGGUGUCGCAGCUAAACGCGUUAAGCACUCCGCCUGGGGAGUACGGCCGCAAGGUUAAAACUCAAAGGAAUUGACGGGGCCCGCACAAGCGGUGGAGCAUGUGGUUUAAUUCGACGCAACGCGCAGAACCUUACCAGCCCUUGACAUGGGCGGACGGGGUCCGACGAGAUGGACUCUUUCUCGCAAGAGACCGCUACACAGGUGCUGCAUGGCUGUCGUCAGCUCGUGUCGUGAGAU
rnacentral:rRNA from 1 species